GUCAGGAUGUCCGAGUGGUUAAGGAGUUUGACUUGAAUUAACUUGUUUCCCGCAAGUAAAACUCAUGGUAUCAAAUGCGUUCGCGCGCGCAGGUUCGAAUCCUGUUCCUGACG
rfam:Tuber melanosporum whole genome shotgun sequence assembly, scaffold_193, strain Mel28